rnacentral:RNase_P_RNA from 1 species
CCAGAGGGUCGGGCGGCCGCUGCCCGCGCAAGCGGGGAGAGGAAAGUCCGGGCUCCAGGGAAUGACGGUGCCGGUUAACGGCCGGCGGGGGCGACCCCAGGGAAAGUGCCACAGAAAGCAAUCCACCCGCCUUCGCCUUCGGGCUUCGGCGGGCCAGGUCGAAAGGGUGCGGUAAGAGCGCACCGCGCUUCCGGUAACGGCGGCGGCACGGCAAACCCCACCGGGAGCAAGACCGAAUAGGGGCGGCAUAUGGGCGUAUUCCCGCUCGUCGCCCGGGUUGGUUGCUUGAGGCCGCGCGCGAGCGCGGUCCUAGAGGAAUGGCCGCCCAUCCGCUUCGGCGGUGGACAGAACCCGGCUUAUAGACCCUCUGGCGUU